rnacentral:misc_RNA from 1 species
GAUUUAGUCGGCAUCCCAUUUUUGCAGUAAGCUGAUGUUUAAUUGCGGCUUGGGCUAUCUUAAUUUUUUUUAAUCUGAAACUGGUUUAGCAGCAUAUACAAUUGAGGCGCUGGUUCUUAGGUUCCAUAGUAUUGACAAAAAAGAGAUGACCUUACCUAAAAAAGAUGAUUUAUGAGAAAAUCUUCAAAGAUUCAUAUGAUCCUCAUUUUUUUUAUAGCUAUUGGUUACCUUGUGCAGGGGUUGGAUUUUAGUGGUUUACACCCAAAUGAGAAUGAGACUUAGAUUAUUCUCUGUAGAUUCUUUGCUUAGAAAAUGUAAAUGAUAGAUCUCAUGGAUUUCUUCUUGGGAUAGGGUUUAGGAUAUAUUGCCUAAGUAGUUUAAGUUGUAGUCAGUAAGUAAUAUUUGUUUCUAGUUUUUGGG